CCUGCGGGAGGGAUCAUUG
rnacentral:rRNA from 1 species